rnacentral:lncRNA from 1 species
CAAGGGGCCAAGGAAAAGGUACACCCAAAAGAGACCCAUUAUAAGGGUCUUAUAAGUUUCUAUAAGAGGAAUGUCCUGGGGCAAGCAAUUCACCUGUGCCCUCUCAGUCACACACACCCCACCCCCCUUGUCAAUAGGAAAAAAGAAGCACUGUUCAUGGAGAAAUUAUUAUCUGCACCCAGUGCACCUGCAUAUAUAUAUAUAUAUAUAUAAAACUGAUACACCAUAAUCUACCGACCAUAUCUAUCUGUCUGAUUUCACGACUUGUGUUAAACAUAUUUCUGGACUCCGUCUCGCACUAUUGAUCUUUUGGCCUGCAUAUUUAUUAUCUAAACUGUCAGUCAAUUUUACGUGCCAUUCAUAUUUUAGCAUGAGACAGAAUUCAUGGAGGGAGAAAAGAGUGAUUCGCGGAUUGUACCGAUGCGCCGGGUUUAUGCAGCAAAUCUGUCCUCCUUUAAGGGGGGUCUAUUACUUUUCUUCCCCUGCGGACACUGUUGAGCCUGUGGGGGGAUGGGUGGACGUUUCAAUGAAUGAGGUGGCCACAGUGCAGCAGGAAUGUACUCCUCCUGUUGGGAAGCAUUGUAGUCAGAAACACAAAAAAAAAGAAAAAGAAAAAGAAAAAGAAAAGAAGCUUUAAAUUGAGAGAUAUAUCAUAGGCAUAGUCAAGGAGAAACAAACCCUAAUUAGUUAGCCUUUAGACUAGGAACUAUUCGGUCUCGCUUCUGCUUCUACUUCUUCUUUCAUCCGUAACCAUCUUUCGUAAAGAUUCGCGCGAAUUUAAGAUGAAAAUCUAAGACCAAAAGUUUAUUUCAGCUUGCUGCACAGCAGCUAGCAAAAGCGUUAUGCUUCAUCUGCUUCCUGAACUAGCUGUUCAAGAGUCGGGACCAAAUGAUCACUUUGGAACCUGAUUGGACCCUUCAUGAUUCUCCUUGAUGCACCACCAUCAACCGUGCAUGUUGCAUUUCAUAACGACCUGCAAUGAAACACCAUUGAAUCUUGUUUAUAUGGAAAGAUCUAUAGAGGUAGAUGCAUGGAUUCAAUGAUUCGAUGGAUACAAUAUUAUUGUCUCUCUGAGGAUAUGGGGUCAUGUGAGUGAAUGCCUUCACAUGGAUGGGUUGUUUUAUAAGGUUCUACAUUUAAGGGUCGUACGGAGCAUUGUGACAUGUUUGAGGACAAAGAGGCACACUUGCAAACAUAAAUGUAGAAAGAUUUUGUGCAGGAUUAAGGGCAGUGAUACUAACCAAAACUAGAUAUUCUAUUCAUUAUCCACUUACAUGUAUAUAUUUUGUUUUGUAUAAAUGAAGGUAUAUUACCUUUUCCACUCCAUGCAUCCUCCCAUAGCUCGGUAUUAAGUGAGUUAAUAACAAAGUGAUUCAAGCUUGGUAAUGUUGAAUCAAAACCACUAACGACAGAUAUAAUGUUGAUCCAUUCACUUUCAGACAAACAAAUAACCAACUACAAAUGGUCGAAUUGACAAUUUACCUUAAAAGGUGACUUUUAGGCAUCUUCCUCCGCUUAUAUCAUAACAAACAACAUUUAAGAUGAAUGGAUGUGUACAGUUUACUCUUCAGUUGAAGUUAAUUAGCUCAAAUUAUCUAAAGCUCCAAAUCAACUAACAUUUAACAUUCAGAAUAAGGCAUAUGAAAAAAAAAAAACUCUUACUCUAUAAUAAAUUCAAGUGAUUUUUCAUUCAGUUUAAAGAGAUAUAUUUGCACCUGAAAUUGUAUUAAUUGAAGAUGUGAGCCACAUGGGCUUGUCCACCAUGCCCCACUAAACAAUUUUCAACUCUAUCCUCAAUUGUACAUUUUUAUUACUCUAAGGUUGUUUCUGUGAGGAAAAUAGUUCCAGUACUAAUGUACAAAGAGACAGACGAAACUGUUUAGGUCCAUGUAGUAUAUUUACUCCAGAAGCAAUUGUUCUGUGUCAAUGCAGGAGACCAAGAUGUGCACCUAAAACAUUUAAUUGAUUGGACAAUCUAGAACUAGCCCAUACCUUGUUUUAAAAUCUUUGUUCCUCCUGGGUGCAAAAGGAUCCAAAUUGAGUGGGUAGUUUAAUUAAUUAAUAUUGCCCACCAUAUAUCAUUGCAUUCAAAGAAUGUAAGGGUGGGGUACCUUUAAAACAACAACUUGGGAGUAUCUUUUGCUAUCAGAAAAAGCUGAACUAAGAUUUUAAACCUCAAAAUGUUGUUCCUCCAAUUUUUCUUAUUUUGCUACAGAAUGAAUAAUUGAAUAUCUCACAACUGGGUCAAACAGAGAAGAAAAGAACUUAUCUUUUCAGUGGAGCCAAAAAGCUUCAAAUUGAAAACCUAUGUUUUAGAGAUUAAUAAAUCUCAACUUAACUUUCCACCACAUCAGAACCUCUAAGCUUUUUAUUUUCUAUACUCUCUAUUACAAGCAGUUUUUUUUUUUUUCGAUAGAAUGGUAGCAUGUUACCACGUCGUUCAUUUUUUAAAAAUAAAUUUAGUUAAAAAUAUAAAGCAAUUAGAUUUCAAACUGAGGAUCUCAGAUACCAACCAUCAAGAGCUUUGUUGCUCGCACUAGAGAUGGUUGAUUAUUACAAGCAGUUAUUGAUGAAAGUAUAAGCAUAUAUAGAGUCAAAAGUAUAUGCAAUAUUAGUUUGGAAGUGUCCCUACUUUCUCUGCUAUAUAUUAUACGGAGAAAUAGUUUGUAAAGAACAGCCUAGGAAUUAAAAUUUCUUGAGAUAGUUAAAUCUUAAUAGAAUUGAAGUAGCAAGAUAUGGCACAUAGUUGUCCACAAAGCCAAUUCAACUUACUUGGACUACCUACUAAGUGAUCCUGGUGGUCCAUGUAAUUAAUCGGCAAAUAUGUACAGACACCCCUGAAUUCAGCUCUCUAGCAAAAGGACAUCUAAACUUUUAAUUUUGCCAAAACAUCUUAAAUUAAUCAAAUAGUUCAAUGGGGCUCUCUCUUUAAUUAACGUUAUUAAUUACAGAGCCGUUUUGAUCAUAUGUCUUACACAUAAUUUUAUAAUGCUUCAAAACAUAAUAAAUUUUAUUUCUUCUAUUAUAGCAUAUAAAAAAAGUAGCAAAGAUAUUGAAGAUAGGUUCAUCCAUUCAGCAAUCCUCAUGGCUAAUUAUCAAACUUGGAGGAGCAAAAAUAGAUUUUUUUAUAUUUUAAAAUCUUACGAGAUUAUAUGCACGACUUGCAAUCAAGAUAACUGUAUAAUUAGUAACUUCGAUUUAGGAGAAGAGUCUAUUGAGCUAUUUGAUGAAAUUUAAAAAAUUUAAUUGUCAAAAUUGAGAGUUUAGACGCUGAUUUAUAAAAGAGCUAAGGUUAGGAGGUGGUCUCUGUACAUUUUUUCCUAAUUAUAACUCAUACCCCCAUCUCUUUGGGAAAGUUAGGGGGCCCACUUUUUUCUGGAUUUUUGGGGAGGGUCUACUCCCAAGGGUCCACAUACAUUUAAAUUAAUUUAGCCAUGAAGUAGAUACUUGAUACAAGAGAAACUUUAAAAGGAAAAUUAGUUGUUUUUUGGUUGAAAGAAACUUUGUUCCAAUGAACUGUAAAGUUGGAAUGGGCUAGUAAUGAGGUAAUUGAUGGAUAUAUAAGGUGCUGAGGUGACAAAGAGGAAACUGCUUUUCCCAAAAAUAUAUCAGAAAAUAAUUUUCAGGUUGAAAAAAAUAUUUUUCUCUUUUUGUUUGGUUUCUAUCUAAAAGUAAUUUUUCCUAGUUUUUAAAAAAAAAAAUUCAGGAAAAUUUAUUUAUUUCUUUACUUUUUAGAUUUUUUAUCCAAAAAAUGAAAAUAGUCGAAAAAAGACUUUUCAUGAAAAAAUGAAAAACUUUUUUCUCGAAAAUAAUUUUCGAAGUUGUUCUGAGAAAUCAAACACUACCUAACCACCACUUGUAUAACUUUCUAGACAAACUAAAAACAGAAAAGGAUGAGUGACCUUUUGAAAAGAAAAUAUAUGAAGACACCCACAACUAUAGGCCGUUUGAAAUAGACCCAUCAUCAAAUGCAACCAACUUUUGAAAAUAGUGUAACUCAAAAGAAUCGAAAGUUAAGACUAUCAUCAUCAAAAGAAAAAUAGUUCAGGGGGGUAUGUCUCCUAUUUAAUAGUGGUCUAUAGUUGAGAGGUUUCCUUACUUUUUUACCCAGAGCGUUUUUUCCUCCUUUUUUUCCUUUUUUCUGUGUGUGUGUGUGGCAUUGGCAGAGAAUAUCUUUGCUUCCAUCACACAAAAUCUUGACCUUCAGACAAAUCCAGUAAUUUCUUCCUGUCUUUUUGUUUCCAUCACACCACACCUGCAAGUGGUUAGGAACAAAACUUGUUCAAGGAUUUCAUUCCUAUUUGGGAUCUUAUUCUCAUUUUUUUCCAGCUGCAGCAAAUCAACACCAAAGAGGUGUAGAGGUCUCCAAAAGAACAAUAAAGCAGUGAAACAAAAGAAAAAAAAAAGAAAGGUUUUGCUUUAGUUGUGUUUCAUAGGCCCUGCACCUAUAGAAGAAGACAAUUUUGAGGAUGCUAAGUAUGCAGGAUGAUCAAUGAUGUAUCAAGGAGUACUACGUAAUACACUCUUCACCAAGUAAAUGUUUUUUUUAAAUUUUUUGGGCUGUGUCCUGAAAGAGUUUUGGCUUUAGCACAAGGCAAAAAUAAGCUCUAAGACCAAAAAGAAAAAAAUAAAUAUUAAAGCUCUAAUUUUGAGUUUCUGCUUCAAUACCAAAAGAAAAGACAGUUCUCUGGAGCAACAAUUUUAUAUAUUUUAAAAUAACAAUUCUAUAUAGAAUACUUUACAAAGACUUGCUCGGAACAUCAUCAGAUUAAGCUGUCAUUGAAUUUGGUAUCGGCCACACAAUUGAUAUGAUAGGAAAUAGCCCAAAUUGGUUACAAGAACUUCUCGUUUGCUUCAAAUCAUAAAAAAAACUGGUUUUUUUUUUUUUUCAAAAUUACUUUUUCCCACAAUUCGCACAAAAGCUGCAAAAAAAAUGCCAAGCAGGCCCUUAGGCUAAAAUGUUGAUAUAUUUGGAGAGUAAGAUGAGAAAAGCAGCAUCUUAAGAACAAAAUGACUAACAUGAGGAUAAUGCACAUGUGACAUCCAAAUAAAAUAUAUUUUAUUGCUAAGCAGAUGCAUUCAAUAUAAUCAAUUUUACUAUGCAAAUAUUGAAAAAAAUUCAACACAUCUAUAAUGGUAACAAAUAUCACUCUUUUCAUGUCCUACACACAAAAAUGAGAAAACAUGUGACACAAAUAUUCAAGAGACAAAAGGCAAUCUAAAGUGAUUAGGCCUAAUUGAUUUGUCCUUCGUAAGAAAUGGUGAGAACACCACCAAAAAUUGAACAUGUGUUAGUUUCUUUGUGCAAGAAAAGGGACUGAGCACAGAGUCAGAGACAUACAAAUUUCUACAAAGAUUUAUUAGUCGUUAUCUCAAACAUGAAUUCCCUUCUUUUGAUGUAUCUUUGAAUCCAAGGAACAAGAGUGUUAUUCACACGCUCUUUGAGAGAAUAGUUUUGCUUAAAUGUAUAAAUGGCAUGUGUUAUAUUAGGAAAAGGUGAAUAGGUCCACCAAAUAGAGGGGCACUCUGGGUCAUAACAUUAUGUGGGGGUGUCUCCUUGGAGUCACAUGAUAAGGAUUGGCUGUAGAUGUAUACCCUAAGGAAGGUGAUAUUAAAAUAACCAUUUUUGGUAAGACAGAUCAGACUCAUCAUAUCUGGCGAAUUUGGUCAGUAAAUAGAAACCACAUUUACUAUCUUUAACUAAUAAAACCAGCUUUGUUAAUAGUAUCAUCUAUAGUAUAACCUCUCUGCCUCGCACUCAGACAGACUAUAGAUUCACUAUUUUCAGCUUUAUUAAUUACAUCAUUCAUACUAUUUAGUCUCUCUCUCUCUCUCACACACACACCAAAUUCACUUUCAAUUAAUACUAAAAUCAGCUUUGUUAAUAUCAUCACCCAUAGUAGAAGCAUCUCUCUCUCUCUCUCUCUCUCUCUCUCUCUCUCUCUCUCUCUCUCUAAGCUUAGCGUCCUAGUAAUAGGACAAGGCCAACAUCUAAAGUGAAAAAUAAAGUCGGAAAGGAAAAAAAACAAAAGAUGAGAUGGAGAAGAGAAUAUUGCACAAGAGACAUAAACUAUAGGAUGGACUGCGGAUUUAAAAGGGUCACUCAUUUUGGAAUUUUCCUUCAUGAUUAUACCCCACCAUUAACUGUUGUCCUCCCAAUCUACUACAACAACUCACAUGGAAGUGCUCUCCAUAUUUGUCUCUUGACCACUACAUGAAAAGUACCCUUGGCCCACCUCUAAUACCAUAUAAAUAAUUAGUUAUGUCUUUAAAACUUUAAACUUUUAGCGAACGAUAUUUUUAAAAUUCAAUAUUCAAUAUUCCCCUCUCACAUCUUUGCUAAAGACUAUUUGAUAGGUCCAAGCCUCCAAGACAUGAAUUUAAAUUAAAUAGGAGAAAUUAGAAGAAAUUAGGUGUUCGAUAAAUUCGAAUUCAGAACCUCAUGCUUUGUAACCUUACAAAAAAGCUCUAACAAACACAAAAACUCAACCUUUUAGAGUAAUUGAUUGUUUCACUAGUAAAAAUAUGUUUCAACAGCUUACUUGUUAGUUGUCACUAGUAAACUUGCACCUUAGAAGAAAAUCAAUUAUUUCACAUAAUAUAAAAUCAGGUCAAGAGUUCGAAUCUAACCAAGGCUCGUCUGCAAAGCAAAACAGAAGUAGCCUCUACCCACUCAAUAUCAUAAAUCUAAUAGUUCUAAGUUUUUACUGGAAUCAGUUAUUUCCACACGAAUAAAAAGACAAGAUCAUGUGAAGAAUAGCAGUGGUGCUGAGGAGUUUUAUUCAAAUAUUAAAAUACAUGCAUUGUAUCUUCUUGUCCCCGAAAGGGGUUUGUGAAUUGGGACUCUGAGGUAUGGAACAAACAGGAGGGGGUACACAUGAGCUCUAGACAAUUAUAACAACCUAUGACUCAAAAGAGAAUUGUUGAUAUAUAUGCUCCCAAAGAGGCAAUGCUACAUGCGAUAUUUCUUUUCCUUUGAAAAAGAAAAGAAAAAGAAAACAGAAACAAUGUUAUCAGUGUGAUUCCUUUUUAGAGUGUCUUAUUAGAGGAUGCCUAGUAUGAUAUCUUACCUUUCUCCAUCUGAAGAGACAUUGCAUGCAUGCCACAUCCUUCCAAACAAGAAAAGGAACAAAUCCACUGCUAGAGCCAUUUAUGCUAGUAUGGGGGUGAGAACAAAAGCUUAUUGGACCUUUUUUCAAGAUAAAAAAUAAAAAAUAAAAAAUAAAGGUGUGUGAGGCUACCAUGCUUAUCAAGAAUUAAUCAUAAGAUUUGGAUGUGAUGCUGUAAUGGUUAACAUGGUGGUAUAUAGGGUAGGAGAAGCAUAUGAAGUUCUUAAAAAAAAAAAAGAAAAAAGAAAAUUCUGAAUUAGAGAGAGGAUUUGAGUUUGUGGACUGAAUGGUAUGGAAUGAUGAAGACUAUUAUGAGUUUGUAAUCAAGUCCCUCAAAGCAAAUAACAUGUUUAAAUUCUAAUUUAAAAAAAAGCAAUCUUACAAGUCAAAUAAAAUACAUUAAAAUAUUAGAUAAUAACUAAAAAAACAAAAAGAUUGGACACUCAGAAAUAAAAUAUUACACUAUUUACUUACUUUAUUCUCACCCUCUUACUCAUUAGUAUAACUGCAGCUUUAUAUUCGUUUCAGAAAGAUCACACAGUGAUCCACCUCAAACUUCAAAAAGUUUACUUGUGAAACAAAUGCUUGAGAUUUAAUGCUUUUUCUUUUUCUUUUUUCUGACAAGUCCUUAGGGCUAUCACAGAUGCAGUAGGCUGCUUUUUACCCAGGAAGAUGAAGUCGAUUGUUGCUUGGCUGCAUAUUUCCUGCAGCAGCAGUAUUUUUCUUUGCUGCAGUUGAUUUUAUUUUUCCGCACAUCCGAGAUGGGAUCAACCACAACUGUUAAAUCAUUUGAUCACCACUGGUUUUGAUUGAUCCCGCCUCAAAUAGACAAUAAGAUCAUCCAAUUUGCAAGAAAAUUCUGCAUAUAAAACUGUCAAGAAUUAACUCUCUUUUUUCUUUUUUCUUUUUUUUGUCGAGGGUUCUUGAACUUUUCAAGGCAAGCAUUCAUGACAGAAUUUUGCAGAUGAUUUGCAAACAAAAAAGUCCUACACACAGAGAGGGUUGUAGAAAAUAUGCACCCAACUUCACCAUUUGUCCAUUAGAAAUUGGAUUGUUUUGUGCCUGCCUGUUUUUCCCAAACCCCCAGCCCAUGGCCCAGGGCUGGCCCUUCGUUUUAUUCUUUCCUUUUUUUCCGAAACUAGUAUGAGGCAUUGAUCUUAUAUACCUUUUGUAUGCAAUCUUCAUUUAGAAUGGUAACUGUUGAGAAAGAAAUUACAAGUACUACAGAAUUACAAAUACUAAUCAAAAGAUGAAAUUUCAUACAACUUGUCAAGGUAAUGAAGCAUCAGCAUACAAGUACUCAAACUUCUGCUUCUUUCCUAUUUCACUCAUCUACAACAAUAUUAUGAUUUUACUGAUUGAAAGAUCAGAAGGCCGCUUUCCAUCUGUAUUUCUCAUCACAAACCAUUUCUUCUCCUAAAAUUUCCCAUGCAAAAUGUUUAUUUCCCGAGUACUGUUAUAAGCAUUAAGCAUAUCCUAAUAAAUGCUAUGACACAAUACAAAUUUUUAUUUAUGGGAAGCAAAACAGGGGUCCUGUCGUGUGGAAAGGAGAAAAGAAUCGACAACGUCCGUGAUUCACACAUUAAGAUCCAUACCAAAAGGUCCAAAACUCAAUGAUGUAAGGGUUUGACUUGUUUCGACCUAAUAGAAGAGUGAUCCACAUCAUUAAUACAGAAAUUUGUAUAUGGAAUAAAUUGCACUUUAUCUGGUUCAUCUUCAGCAUUACUGAUGAAAUAUAGAUUUCUAGUUUCAGAACACAAUUCUAGCAUACAUAAGUUUUCAUUUUCUAAUUACAAGAGCACUUGCAUAAUUGAUACACAACAAAGUUCGUUAGUCGAAAGUUUUGCCAUAAAAUACACAGCACCAGCUCAUAUCAGAAACCAUUAGAAAGAAGACUAGUGGCUGGUUAUAUGGGGUGUGGUUCUACUAAGCAGAGCCUUAGCUUUUCCAAAAGGAGAAAACCAUUGCUUUUACAACAGCGGUGGGCUAUGAUGUCCUAACUCUUUCGAUUUUUCAAGAUACAUAUUCAUUAUUCCACCUAAAGAAGGUGACUUACCCUUCCUUGACAAAGAAAGGAGUGAUUCCCUACAUUGUAGAUACCCUCUCCAGGCACAAAUCAAGCAACUAGGCUAUCAUACAGGUCUUGAGUAAACAAAAGGUGAUAUAUCAAACAGGUAUUAUGGCAUCAAACAGGUCCAAAAUGUAAAAUAAUUAGAAAGUAGAGAGCCUGUGUUGAGCCAUUCAAGCAACUACGCUAUUGAACGUGUCUCGAGUAAACAAAAGGUGAUAUGUCAAACAGGUAUUAUUACAUCAAACAGGUCCAAAUUGUAAAAUGAUAAGAAAGUAGAAAGCUUGUGUCAAGCCAUGUAGCUGAAGGAAGGUCGGCUAUUGUUGCAUAUUGGUAUUAAGAAUGGAAGAUUGGAACCAACUUACAGAGCAUGAUUUGUAAGAAUAGCGUGUCUUAGUGAUGCUAAGAGCAGAGAUUAAGAAAAUUUUUGUCUGACCACAAAAAGACCGUACCAAAAAUCCAAAAGAAUUAAAACUUUGUCGAAAAGAAGUUAAACACCAAUUGCUUAUUCGUCCUAAUAUUGGGUAGUAAAAUCGUUCUGAAUUGAUAAAGAGUGUUUUGGGACAAAAUGGACUAAAAAUACACAUGGGGAAAAAAAAAGUCUGGUAUGACUCCUGCUUAAGUUGUUCCAAAAUUAUAUGUGCACUUAAAAGAACCAAUCUAAAAGCAGUAAAUAGUCUCUCUAUAAUACCUCAGAGGUACACUCUAUAACAUAAAGAGCACUACUCUUUACAACCGCAGGAACCAAUUAAGAAGAUAACACAACCACAGUUUCUAAUCUACAACUCAUAUAAUGCAACCUAGAGUACUGUUCACAACCAACCAUUAUCAUUCCCUUGCAUCUUCUCAUUAUGAAACCAUAAGGCAACAACAUCCAGGCAAUGACACUGCUCAGAAACAUCAGUAUAUAAUUGAUUGUAAAAGGCGUCUACUCAACAUUCCCUCAACAUUCCAUAGUACACUACAUGCAAAGAGGAGAAAACAAAAAAAAAAAAUGAGUCUGAAGGAUACUCACAGAAUUGAAUUGAACAAUGAAAGAUGAACUACAAACACUCGUCGAACUUCCUCAGCCGCAUAUCCACCAGGCGAACGCGAAACUCGCCGUCGCUGACCUUGAGCAUCUCCGACAGCGGCAUCGCGAGCCCGCUCUCCUUCAACAUCCGGUGCCUCGGCUUGAUCCUCCCCUCCAGGCUAAACGAGAAGUACUGGGGGAAUGCCUUGAGCUCCACCGCAUCCCUCCCCAUUUGCUGGGUCAAAAACUCGGCCUUUGGGCGGAGAUUGCGGUCGACGCUGAAGGUGAGGAUGCUGGGGGAUCGGAGGACCAAUUUGUUGGUGUCGCGGUCGGAGAGGCCGAGGGACCGGAGGAAGUCGAGCUUGGGGAUGAGGGUGCGCUCGACGCUGGAGACGAGGAGGAGGGCGGUGUGGGCGGUGAUGCGGCGGGGGCCGACGAAGCCGACGCGGCGGAGGAAGAGGAGGGUGGGGUGGAGCUGUAGGGGGACGCUGGAGGCGAGGAGGCGGGGGCAGCGGAGCACGGCGGAGCGGAGGUGGGGGAAGGGGAUGGCGACGGGGCCGAGGAGGAAGCGGAGGGAGGGGAGGAGGGAGAGGGAGGGGUCGGAGGUGAGGAGGUGGGGGUGCUGGGAGAAGACGCGGGAGGCGUCGGAGGGGAGCAGCCCGAAGGCGAGGAGGAGGGAGGCGGCGGAGCGGAGGGACGAGAUUGGGGCGGAGCGGAGCGAGGGGUUGAGCGCGAGGGCGCGGGACGGGUCUACGCCGAGCUCGUGCUCCAGGUAGAGUAGCUUCUCCCGGAAGAGGAUCCCCGCGUCCGCCGCGGCGGCGGCGGCGGUGGCGCAGGAGGAGGAGGAGAGGGGAGGGGGGAGGCGCUGGAGAGGGAGGGAUACGGAGGAGUAGGAACUAGGGUUAGGGUUAGGGUUAGGGUUAGGGUUAGGGCUUUGGUGGGGUUUGGGAGGAAGAGGGGAGAGGUGGAGACGAAGAAGCAUAGUAGUAGUAGUAAAGUGGGGGGAGACGACGAUGGACAACGAGCCGUGCGUGAUUGGAUACAAAGUAAUAACUACUAAUUUAUUUAUUGGUUCGAACCGGGUUUAUUAGUGGGCCAAGCCCGGCCCGGGUCAAUAUGGGUCUAAGUGAGCCUAACACUGUUUACUAAACGCCCAAUUGUAUCUUUGGUUCUGGCCCAAUAUUUAUCAAACUGGCCUUCAAAAUAGAAAUUUCAAAAAAAAAAAAAACCGUUGGGAAUCAAAAUAAAAGGAUUAAUUGCACAUUCGGUCCUCAAACUAUGACGCACGUGAUAAUUUAGUCCUCAAACUUGAUCAAUUUGUUGUAAUUUAUGUCUCGAACUUUCGGAAUUGUUCUAAUCAAGUCUAACAUUCUAAUUUAGUUGAUAAAAAAAUGAUGUGGCAUUCUAAUUGUUAGCGCAUCAUCAAUCAUAACAUUAUUACGUCACCUUUACUUGAUUGCAACGAUUCUGAGAGUUCGAGCCAAAAAUUGCAGUAAAUUGAAAUUUUAGGACUGAAAUGUCACUAGCCUCGUAGUUUGAUGACAAAUGUGCAAUUUGCCCAAAAUAAAGCAUCAUGGAAAAGAUUAAUUAUGAACACCUGGUGCAACUAACCCAUAUAUGGCUUCAUUUUAUUUACCUAAUCCAUUGGAUAACCAAUAAGGACCCUCAAACUCAUCAUUAACAACUAAUUCUAAAAGUGUACACUAAUUAAUAAAACUAGUUACUAGCUAGGUUUUAGAGGUCAAAUAUGACAUCAUGAUUUAUAACAAAAACAAAAAAGCCACUGAACAGAUCAUGCAUGUUCCUAGCUCUUUGUUCUCACUAGUGGAGGAUAAUAUAUAUAUAUAUAUAUAUAUAUAUAUAUAUAUAUAGAGUAGGGCUGCUGUGCUCUCUGGAGAGACGGACACCUUCGUGCUCCUCAGCCGUUUUCGAUGAUGAAUUUCGAAUGUACGAUCGCUCCGUGUAGAUUGAUCUAGCGCAUUUGACAGUUUCUAGAAAAUAAUUUUUGCCAUUUUUUCGAUAUUCAUUACCUAGUGAUCAAAAAGGAUUCAAAAUUCAUAAUUUUUAUGGUUGAUAUUUGCCGUUUUCAAGUUUAACGAUGUAAAAGUAUUCAAAUCAAAUAAAUUUUGAUAGAAAAUUAUUAUACUAUCUACAACAAGAUCUAUAUUUCUGAUCGAAAUUUUAGUGCUAUAUCACCACUUUUAGAGGAUUUUUAUUUUCAGCCGUUUAAAAAUUAUUUAUUUUGAAAUCGCUUUCGAUUGCUAGGUAAAUAAUAUCGAAAAAUCACAAAAAUUAUUUUCUAGAAACUUUAAAUACGCUAGAUCAAGUUUAACGGAGCCGAUCGUCGAUUUGAAAACUCCAUCAUCGAAAACGGCUCAGGAGCACGGAGGCCUCCGUGCUCCUGAGA